rnacentral:lncRNA from 1 species
UAAGGAAGGGAGGGGACGGUGUUUUUGAGAUCUUGCGAGGUGGUGGGGAACCUAUAAAUAUGGGUGGAAAAGCGGGUGUGUAUGGUGUCCCUCUUUGUGAUGGGGAUGAGGAUCGGGUGCUUUAUUGCGUUGGUGGUGCGAGGGGAAGUUUGGAGGCCAGAUUGGGGGAGCAUAGGGAGGAUGUUGGAAAUGGGAGGGGUGCUGCGGCGCUUGCCUGUGGAGUGUGCGAGAGUGGUGUGGAGGUUGGAUGGGAUCGGGCUCGGCUUGUUGAAGUUUUGCAGGACACAGGAGGGAUUGGUACUGCGGAAAGUGUUGAGGUUGAGGGGAGGAAGGUGAAUGGGGGUCUUAUUAAU